rnacentral:rRNA from 1 species
AUGGACGGGUUGAAUACUCCUCUUAACCGGUCCAUCAAUGUGACCCUCGGCAAGGACCCGUUGCAUCCGCCGGCCGGUGGCCGUGUGAACGGCGCUGGAUGCGGAGCCAAAUGGGAUGAUCAUUAUGUCGAAGACCGCGAGCAGCGACGACAGAGAAGGAGAUCCAACAAGCAGACCAUUGAACAGAAAAUAAUUGCAUCCAUAGCCGCCGCCACAGCCGCAGCCACAGUUGCAGCAACUGCCAACAUUGAAGCACGCAUCAACAUGCAAAUCCAAGCCCGUGCCCAAGCCAUGUUGCCUUCAAUAAUCGAGAGCGUCAAGAAAUGGCUCAAAAACGGUGAACUAGGAAACAUUGUCAUCGACACAUCACCCAUAGAUAGCAGCCAUUCUAUGUCUUUCAUUGGCAACCCAUCGCCAAUGGCUGCUCUUGACGCUCUUACGGAAGACACUCCAUGCAGUCUCUUGGCCCAUGUGAAUGGUGAGCAGAUUAAAGUUGCAAUCGGCUCGAUCAUUCGCCCCAAAGAUAGAAUCAUGCAUAGAUUGCAUAUGCCUGAGGGGGUCUUGAAAAUUGAGUUGGUUGUUGUCUUAAAUGGUUACGAAGAUAUUGCUCCUCCGACACAACCUCCUGGUGUGGAUAGCCAGCUUUCCCUUGGACAAUGCUUAUGGUGGCCAAUGAUGUGGCCGAAGAGUCAAAUUCGGCUAGGAGAUGACCAAAUUCAAACAAGCUCGAAGCAGAAGAAGAAGAAGACGUCAUGUCUAGGACCAUCUCCUUUGGGUCAAAGUCAACCUGAAUUGCAUAAAAACAAUGUGGAUGUCGUUGAGGACCAAGUAAAUAAUGAACAUGACUUACUUGCCAAUCGAUUCUUCAUGAUUGAAGAAUAUCACAACUCAGUUGCUGAUCUUGAUGGACCUAUGCCUGCUGAUCCCGUCCAAGCAUUCUCUCUGCCUCCUGCUGUCCAAGCUGAUCACCGUGUUGUUCCUUACCAGAAGAGUCUACUGUUCAACGGGGACUUCACGCCACCAGACACACAAGUGCCACCAUCCAGGGGAGCGUCGUUGCUGGGUCCAAACACACUCAAUGUGACGCUAGCAAAUGCACUGCCGGGCGGUGCAGCCAGCCAGCCUAACAUGUCAAGCAAGAAGAGGAGGUGCCCAGGAAAUGCUAAUAAGAAGGCCACUACCGCCGCCAGCCAGCUAGUUCAGAAUAAUAAAGAAGUACUUCGUCAUGUUGCAUGGCUGACUUACCAUUCCCCGGGUGAACCCAUCCUUCCGAAGGAGCUCUCCAAUCUUCUGCAGACAGAAAUGAGACUUCUGCAUUAG